CAUUUCUUACUAAAAUUUUUGUAAGUAACACCUGCUCAAUGAAAAUUUAAUAGCCGCAGAAAUUUAACUGUGCUAAGGUAGCAUAAUCAUUAGCCCCUUAAUUAGGGGCUUGAAUGAAUGGUGAAACAUCUUAUUAACUUUAUUUAUUAUUAAAAUUAAAAUUAAAUCAAGAAUAAAAAUGUUCUUAUACAUCUAAAAGACGACAAGACCCUUUUGAACUUAACUUUAGUUAAGCUGGGGCAGCUAAUUAAUAAUAAUUUUAUUAUCUUAAUUUUAUUAAAUGACCCAUUAAAACUGAUUUUAUGAACAAGUUACCAUAGGGAUAACAGCGUAAUUCCUUUUUAAAGCUCUUAUAUAAAAAGGAGAUUUCGACCUCGAUGUUGAAUUAAUGUAACUUACACACGCAAUAGAAUAUAAAGUAAGUCUGUUCGACUUUUAAAACAUUAC
rnacentral:rRNA from 1 species